AUGGCUCCUACCGAGGCUGAGGAUGAUGUAGAGGAGGGAGAAGAGAAGAAGAAGAGGGAAAGGAAGGCAGCCGGAGCUGCUUUCACAUGGAUUCAAAAUAACUUUGCGACGUGCCCUCCGGAUGCAACUGAUGAUGUGAUCCAGACACAUGCUCGUGUGUAUAUGUGGUACAUUGUGUCGAGGACUUUGUUUCCUGACUCCACUGGCAAGAACGCUCCAUGGAUGUGGCUGAAGGCGUUGACCGUCUUCGAUAGCAAAUGGAGCUGGGGUUCAGCGACUCUUUUCCAGCCUCACCCGCCGGAUUGGGUGGACACGGAUAAAGCACUUCAUAGGUAA
rnacentral:rRNA from 1 species